GGAUGGGAGCGGCCGGUCGCCCCGUAAGAGGGGAGGAAAGUCCGGACUCCACAGGGCAGGAUGCCCCGGCAAGGCAGAAGGCCAAGCUGGGGGGCCCAUCGCCAUACCGAUGGGUACGGAAAGUGCCACAGAAAACAGACCGCUCCGGUCAUGGGCCGGAGUAAGGGUGAAAAGGUGGUGUAAGAGACCACCGGGUCCCGCCGUAAGGCGGGAUCGCACGGCAAACCCCAUCCGGAGCAAGAUCAAAUAGGGAGCGAAGAGGUGGCCCGCCUCACUCCGCACCUAGCGGAUAAGCUCCGGGUAGAUCGCUAACGGCCUUCCCUGGAAGGCCAGAGAAAUGACCGGCACCGCUGCGUCGGCAGCGGAGACAGAAUCCGGCUUACAGCUCCCAUUCGGGG
rnacentral:RNase_P_RNA from 1 species